rnacentral:rRNA from 1 species
UACGGAGGAUGCGAGCGUUAUCCGGAUUUAUUGGGUUUAAAGGGUGCGUAGGCGGUCCGUUAAGUCAGCGGUAAAAUUGCGGGGUUCAACCCCGUCGAGCCGUUGAAACUGGCAGACUUGAGUUGGCGAGAAGUACGCGGAAUGCGCGGUGUAGCGGUGAAAUGCAUAGAUAUCGCGCAGAACUCCGAUUGCGAAGGCAGCGUACCGGCGCCAGACUGACGCUGAGGCACGAAAGCGUGGGGAUCGAACAGG